UGAGGAAUAUUGGUCAAUGGACGGAAGUCUGAACCAGCCAAGUAGCGUGCAGGAUGACGGCCCUAUGGGUUGUAAACUGCUUUUGUAUGGGGAUAAAGUCAAUCACGUGUGAUUGUUUGCAGGUACCAUACGAAUAAGGACCGGCUAAUUCCGUGCCAGCAGCCGCGGUAAUACGGAAGGUCCAGGCGUUAUCCGGAUUUAUUGGGUUUAAAGGGAGCGUAGGCUGGAGAUUAAGUGUGUUGUGAAAUGUAGACGCUCAACGUCUGACUUGCAGCGCAUACUGGUUUCCUUGAGUACGCACAACGUUGGCGGAAUUCGUCGUGUAGCGGUGAAAUGCUUAGAUAUGACGAAGAACUCCGAUUGCGAAGGCAGCUGACGGGAGCGCAACUGACGCUUAAGCUCGAAGGUGCGGGUAUCGAACAGGAUUAGAUACCCUGGUAGUCCGCACAGUAAACGAUGGAUGCCCGCUGUUGGUACCUGGUAUCAGCGGCUAAGCGAAAGCAUUAAGCAUCCCACCUGGGGAGUACGCCGGCAACGGUG
rnacentral:rRNA from 1 species